rnacentral:rRNA from 1 species
UACGGGGGGAGCAAGCGUUGUUCGGAUUUACUGGGCGUAAAGGGCGCGUAGGCGGCCACCGCAAGUCAAUUGUGAAAUCUCCGGGCUUAACUCGGAAAGGUCAACUGAUACUGCGGGGCUAGAGUGCGGAAGGGGCAACUGGAAUUCCUGGUGUAGCGGUGGAAUGCGCAGAUAUCAGGAGGAACACCGAUGGCGAAGGCAGCUCGCUGGGACGGUACUGACGCUGAGGCGCGAAAGCGUGGGGAGCGAACAGG